rnacentral:rRNA from 1 species
CACCGGCAGCUCUAGUGGUAGCUGUUUUUAUUGGGCCUAAAGCGUUCGUAGCCGGUUUGAUAAGUCACUGGUGAGAUCCUGUAGCUUAACUGUGGGAAUUGCUGGUGAUACUGUUGAACUUGAGGUCGGGAGAGGUUAGCGGUACUCCCAGGGUAGAGGUGAAAUUCUGUAAUCCUGGGAGGACCACCUGUGGCGAAGGCGGCUAACUGGAACGAACCUGACGGUGAGGGACGAAAGCUAGGGGCGCGAACCGGAUUAGAUACCCGGGUAGUCCUAGCCGUAAACGAUGCGGACUUGGUGUUGGGAUGGCUUUGAGCCGCUCCGGUGCCGAAGGGAAGCUGUUAAGUCCGCCGCCUGGGAAGUACGGUCGCAAGACUG